rnacentral:rRNA from 1 species
GUUUGAUCCUGGCUCAGAUUGAACGCUGGCGGCAGGCCUAACACAUGCAAGUCGGACGGUAGCACAGAGAGCUUGCUCUCGGGUGACGAGUGGCGGACGGGUGAGUAAUGUCUGGGAAACUGCCCGAUGGAGGGGGAUAACUACUGGAAACGGUAGCUAAUACCGCAUAACGUCGCAAGACCAAAGUGGGGGACCUUCGGGCCUCACACCAUCGGAUGUGCCCAGGUGGGAUUAGCUAGUAGGUGGGGUAAUGGCUCACCUAGGCGACGAUCCCUAGCUGGUCUGAGAGGAUGACCAGCCACACUGGAACUGAGACACGGUCCAGACUCCUACGGGAGGCAGCAGUGGGGAAUAUUGCACAAUGGGCGCAAGCCUGAUGCAGCCAUGCCGCGUGUAUGAAGAAGGCCUUCGGGUUGUAAAGUACUUUCAGCGGGGAGGAAGGGGGCGAAGUUAAUAGCUUCGUUCAUUGACGUUACCCGCAGAAGAAGCACCGGCUAACUCCGUGCCAGCAGCCGCGGUAAUACGGAGGGUGCAAGCGUUAAUCGGAAUUACUGGGCGUAAAGCGCACGCAGGCGGUCUGUUAAGUCAGAUGUGAAAUCCCCGGGCUUAACCUGGGAACUGCAUUUGAAACUGGCAGGCUUGAGUCUCGUAGAGGGGGGUAGAAUUUCCAGGUGUAGCGGUGAAAUGCGUAGAGAUCUGGAGGAAUACCGGUGGCGAAGGCGGCCCCCUGGACGAAGACUGACGCUCAGGUGCGAAAGCGUGGGGGAGCAAACAGGAUUAGAUACCCUGGUAGUCCACGCCGUAAACGAUGUCGACUUGGAGGUUGUGCCCUUGAGGCGUGGCUUCCGGAGCUAACGCGUUAAGUCGACCGCCUGGGGAGUACGGCCGCAAGGUUAAAACUCAAAUGAAUUGACGGGGGCCCGCACAAGCGGUGGAGCAUGUGGUUUAAUUCGAUGCAACGCGAAGAACCUUACCUGGCCUUGACAUCCAGAGAACUUAGCAGAGAUGCUUUGGUGCCUUCGGGAACUCUGAGACAGGUGCUGCAUGGCUGUCGUCAGCUCGUGUUGUGAAAUGUUGGGUUAAGUCCCGCAACGAGCGCAACCCUUAUCCUUUGUUGCCAGCGGUUCGGCCGGGAACUCAAAGGAGACUGCCGGUGAUAAACCGGAGGAAGGUGGGGAUGACGUCAAGUCAUCAUGGCCCUUACGGCCAGGGCUACACACGUGCUACAAUGGCGCAUACAAAGAGAAGCGACCUCGCGAGAGCAAGCGGACCUCAUAAAGUGCGUCGUAGUCCGGAUUGGAGUCUGCAACUCGACUCCAUGAAGUCGGAAUCGCUAGUAAUCGUAGAUCAGAAUGCUACGGUGAAUACGUUCCCGGGCCUUGUACUCACCGC